UUCCACGCUGUGGGUGUGUGUUAUUCUUUUGGUGUUUUUGCACUUAAAUCUUGCUGCUGCUCACUGUUUGGGUCCACACUGCUUUCAUGAGCUAUAACACGCAUCACGAACGUCUGCAGCUUUACUCCUGAGCCAGCGAGACCAGGAACCCACCAGAAGAAAGAAACUCCUAACGCAUCCAAACCUCAGAAGGAACAAACUCCAGACACGCUGCCUUUAAGAACUGUAACACUCACCGCAAGGGUCCGUGGCUUCAUUCUGGAAACCAGUGAGAUCAAGAACCCACCAAUUCUGGACACAACACCUCAACAACACGUCACGGGCAGGACCUUCCUGACACCCUUGACUCGGGCCUGGCCUGAGGCAGGCAGAUGCCACUCACCUCCAAGUUCUCCAGAACCUCUGGGGCACCAAAGACCCUGACCUCGGAGCUGGUGUUUGCUCAAAAGGAUUUCAGCCUGGUUGGCAUAGAGACCUGGGCUGAAGGGCACCUCUGGCAAGCUGGCAAGUGACACGGAGUUCAGCCUUGUCCUCACAGUGAGGGAAGGACGGGGAGGUUUGGAGCUGACAGUCAACAAAUGGGUAAUGGGUGGCCAUUAGUGAAGUGGCAGGAAGUGGGGCAGCACACACAGCGCGAGCUGUUUUGUGUAUGAACAGCCAGGCGAUGAUGUCUGAACAUCCUUAAUUUUGCAAACGGCAACAGGGCACGAUGAACCUGGGAACUCACAAAAAUGAUGAGCAUAGAGCUCUGCGGGUUGCGUGUCCUCAAAGUCAAGUCAGUCCAAUGUCUUCAAGGAAAGUGAGUGCCCAGAAUCACAAGGAACGCGGAAACUCAUCAGUUGGAGAUCUGGGUCUGGCUAACAGGGCAACUUCUGGACUUUUCAGAAAAAGUGAGAAUCCGAGAGUUUCAAAGGAUUUAUUUGAUUUCCCCACAUGAUCACAACCAUGGUUUUACAUUGAUAGUCUGUUACCACUGACAAACAGAAUGCAGAUGAAAACGAACGCACUCCUUUCCUCCCAGAGGUACACAGUGGGGGUGCCAGGCUUCUUGUGAGGGAAGUGUCCCUUGAAGUCUCUGAACAGUCUGGGGAUUCAGGACCUGAUUCUAAUUGCUUCAAAUAAUUUGGAGGCAAAAGAUAUCUCCCAAGAGGAGACGCAUGCUGUCUGCCGUCUCAAUGUGACUGCACAUAGAAGGGCGACGCAGAUGCGUCUGAAUGGAGGGCAGGCCUCCUCCCCCUUGUCCUGUGCUCGGCACCCCCACCUCACCCUGCUCAGUGUUGCAAUGCUGCCUUGACUAUUGUUGUUAUAUAAAAUACAAAUGCACUCGUUUCUCAGGCAGGAAGGGUGAUGAUAUUUUACAAGGAGAACUGUAAGACUGUGCGUGCUUACCUGUGGGCACAGAGCUUCCCGUGGAGCUGAGUCAACAUCCAGCAUCAGCUGUGAACAUCUGCUGUCUUUUCAGCUCAUUAAGAAAAACAAGAGGCUCCUGCCGCAUGCAGCGUGUGAGGGAAAGAUCACUCUGCACUGGAUGCUGAAGACAUUUUUAAGCAAGAUGUGCACAUCACAUUAGGAUGAACUUUAUUUUUACAUUGUUGUACAAUUCAUUGGUAAACUUAAAAAAAUACAAAUACAUGAUUUGACUGUUGUCCCAGAAAAGACUUUUGUCACAUUGCCAGCUGUUUCCCUCAGCAUCUCCUGUUCCUGUCAGCAAUUCUGUAUGUAACUGCAAUAAUUUGUGUGACUUGAGAAAGGUAUGCCAAGGGCGUCCUCACAGUGAGAAGGGACCAGGCAGACAUCCUGGGGCUCUCGGCCUCCUCCUGCCUCCCCUCCCGCGGGAUGUGAUGACAGGACCCCAAAGCUAUGGCUGUGACAGGUGCGGACCUAAAGGGGACAGUCCCAUGAAAGACACACGGGGACACCAGCUCACUGGGAGCUUUUGCUUCCCAAACAAGGUGCGGGCAGCAUGACUCCAGCCUCUGGAACCCAACAAUGUAUCUUCGACAAACUUUUGAUAAGCUUGCAAAUAAAACAGGAUGAAACCUUA